rnacentral:rRNA from 1 species
UACGUAGGGGGCAAGCGUUGUCCGGAUUUAUUGGGCGUAAAGAGCUCGUAGGUGGUUCGGUAAGUCGGAUGUGAAAUCUCCAGGCUCAACCUGGAGGGGUCAUUCGAUACUGCCGUGACUAGAGUUCGGUAGGGGAGUGUGGAAUUCCUGGUGGAGCGGUGAAAUGCGCAGAUAUCAGGAAGAACACCUAUGGCGAAGGCAGCUCUCUGGGACGGUACUGACGCUGAGACGCGAAAGCGUGGGGAGCGAACAGG